rnacentral:rRNA from 1 species
GCAGACGGGUGAGUAACGCGUGGGAACGUACCCUUUUCUACGGAAUAACCCAGGGAAACUUGGACUAAUACCGUAUGUGCCCUUCGGGGGAAAGAUUUAUCGGAAAAGGAUCGGCCCGCGUUGGAUUAGCUAGUUGGUGGGGUAAAGGCCUACCAAGGCGACGAUCCAUAGCUGGUCUGAGAGGAUGAUCAGCCACAUUGGGACUGAGACACGGCCCAAACUCCUACGGGAGGCAGCAGUGGGGAAUAUUGGACAAUGGGCGCAAGCCUGAUCCAGCCAUGCCGCGUGAGUGAUGAAGGCCCUAGGGUUGUAAAGCUCUUUCACCGGUGAAGAUAAUGACGGUAACCGGAGAAGAAGCCCCGGCUAACUUCGUGCCAGCAGCCGCGGUAAUACGAAGGGGGCUAGCGUUGUUCGGAUUUACUGGGCGUAAAGCGCACGUAGGCGGAUCGAUCAGUCAGGGGUGAAAUCCCAGAGCUCAACUCUGGAACUGCCUUUGAUACUGUCGAUCUGGAGUAUGGAAGAGGUGAGUGGAAUUCCGAGUGUAGAGGUGAAAUUCGUAGAUAUUCGGAGGAACACCAGUGGCGAAGGCGGCUCACUGGUCCAUUACUGACGCUGAGGUGCGAAAGCGUGGGGAGCAGACAGGAUUAGAUACCCUGGUAGUCCACGCC